rnacentral:rRNA from 1 species
CCUACGGGUGGCAGCAGUGGGGGAUAUUGCACAAUGGGGGAAACCCUGAUGCAGCGACGCCGCGUGAGUGAAGAAGUACUUCGGUAUGUAAAGCUCUAUCAGCAGGGUAGAAAAUGACAGUAUCUGCCCAAGACACCCCGGCUAACUAUGUGCCACCAGCAGCGGUAAGACGUAGGGGGCAAGCGUUUUCCGGGUGGACUGGGUGCAAAGGGAGCGUAGACGGUUAUGUAAAUCUGGAGUGAAAGCCCGGGGCCCAACCCCGGGACUACUUUGGAAACUGUGUAACUGGAGUACAGGAGGGGCAGGCGGAAUUCCUGGUGUAGCGGUGAAAUGCGUAGAUAUCAGGAGGAACACCGGCGGCGAAGGCGGCCUGCUGGACUGAAACUGACGUUGAGGCUCGAAAGCGUGGGGAGCAAACAGGAUUAGAUACCCGUGUAGUC